AUGUCAAUGUUACAAAAUAAUCCACACGUACUAGACAGACUAAUUAAGUGAUCCGUUUUUCAUUGCCAAAUCACUCAAUUUAUAUGCACCAAGAUAUUGACACGUAAUGCGUAACACACUCACCUCCCACAAUAAUCCCUUCAGCCCUUUAACACAAACCUAAGUUGCUCGGACACGGGUGUGGUGUCCGAUACGGGCGCGGAUCUAGAGGUCGGAUCCUUCAAGAUGUAAAUUUUAAGAUUCGGGGAUACGGAUCCUAAUACGGGCGAGGGGAUCCAGCUAAAAAUAAUUCAAAAAUAUAAAAACAUCUCUAAAUUAUGAGAAAUUUUGAGGAAUUACUUACGUAUAGCUUGUAAAGUAUGGAUUUCUUUUUUAUUCUCAAGUUGUAGAUUAAAGGAUUGAUUUCCUAGAUAAGUUAUGCUAUUUUCUUCAAAUUUACCAUAGUUUUGGUUCUGACUUCGGGAAUCAAAUUGUAUCUCAUCUCGAAUUUUUUCGUCCGUCGUGGUCAAAUUACCCAAAAUUGUUUGACCAGAUCCGGUACAGAUCCCAUACUCACACAUAUACUAGUGUCGUGUCGACACAGGUGCAGUACCAAACUUGUCAUGUCAGAGCAACUUAGACACAAACAUUAAGAGACAAGACUACUUGGGAUUUCAGGCCAUCAAGCUGGAUAGAUUGUAUAGACAUGAUUCUCUUGGUGUCUAUCCGCAAUCCUUCUGAAACGUGGAGACAUUCAAGGAGACGGUUUUUGGAGAAAUCUUGUCUUCGGAUGAAAUUCAGCUUCUUCGUCGCCUCCUAGCCAAACUUGACUCUGCUAAUGUUGCCACAUCCAAUCAUGUGCAAUCAGGUGGAUACGAUUGAAUUAGCUUUGGACUACGAGAGGAAAACUCGUGAUUGGUGUGGAAGGGAAGAUCUGUUUAUGAUAUAGUUCAAGAAAGAGUCAUCUCAUUUCUAUUGAUGAAUUGGUAAAGUUUGAGAUUUCGAGAUGUAAGAUAUCCUCCGAUUAUUCUAUGGUUCUUUACAGUCUUGUACAAUCACCUUCUUGAUGUUGAUAUUUUGUAAAUAUUCUAGUUGAAUUGUUUAUGUUUAUGAUUUGAAAUUGUUUGGGAAACGAGUUGCACGCCACAACGGAAUUGAAAGGUAUUAAAAUGAUAUGAAAGAAUAAGGAUGGAUUAUGAUAUGAACAGAUGAUGAUGAUAUGGUGGGAUCGGGUUGUGCGCCGAAACGGAUUUGAUAUGUUGUAAUUGUUUGUGAUUAUUGAGUUAUCCUCGGUAGUGUGAUAUGAGACUUGAGACUUCGUUAUUCUGGGCUCUCUAGUAGUUGACCUUCGGGUCCGUUUAUAUGACUUUAUUGCUUUCUCUA